CAACAUUUAUUUUCUGGGGGCAAGGUCGGCGUGGCGAGCGAACGCAAUUAUAUACAUCGGCUCCAAACGCGCGCUCUGAUUGGUCGAGUUCCGCCAGUGGAGAAUCAGCUGCCAGAAGCUUCUGAUCAGCUGAGCCAAGUCACGCUCCUCUGCUCCUCCUGCAUUUAUCAACCCCACAGCA